AUGCCGGAUCUCCCGGAUUAUAUAAUACCAAGACUAAAGAUGCGAUUCCAAGAUGUAGAAAAAGCAAGGGAAUUUUAUAACAGAUACGCCAGACACACUGGUUUUGGAAUCAGGAAGGGGGGGAAUGACAACCACAAGUAUUUUGUUUGCGCGUUCCAAGGGAUACAAACAACUUCUGUUUUAGAGGCUAACAGGAAGCGAAACAAAACAUCGCAGAGGACAGGCUGCAAUGCAAGAAUGAGGGUGAAGGUGCAGGAGGAUAACACAUGCGUGGCUGUGAAUAUUGAGUACAAUCAUAAUCACCAACUCAUGCAAACUGAUGACAUGCUGGUUUUAUUGCACUCACACAAGAAUUACGACCCCACUAUUUUGGAGUACAUAAAGCUCCUACAGUACCAUGAUGUCAAGCACACAACAAUCAUGUCCAUGCUAUCUGAAAAUGAAGAUGGAAGCUACUUCCAAAGCAUGACCGGACGAGACCUCCUAAACCAGAAAGCCAUGAAUGCAAGGAAAGAUGAUUUGAAUGAUGUACUGAAACUUGUUUCAUUCUUCAAAGACAUGAAGGCAAUCAAUGAUAUGUUUUUCUAUGACAUACAAGUAGACAAGGACAAGUGAAUUAAAAACAUUUUCUGGUCCAAUGCAAGCUGCCGAGGAGCCUAUCAAGACUUUGGGGAUUGUGUAAUGUUCGACACAACUUACAAGACCAACAGAUUUCGUAUGCCUCUGGGAGUGUUUGUUGGAACAAACCAUCACUUGUAGUCAACGAUAUUUGAUGUUGCUCUGAUCAGAGACGAAGAUGCAAAGUCAUUCAAGUGGCUGUUCGAUACAUUUGUACGGUGCAUGAACAACAAGCACCCAACUUGCAUUCUAACAGGGGUAUGUAUUGGGCAGACUACUGCCCGUACACAAUCAUUUCCAAACACCGUACACAAGCUAUGACGUUGGCACAUCAUGAAGAAGUACAGGGAAUACCUUGCGUUGCUGUACAAAAAGUGUAAAAAAUUCAAAGAGGAGUUCACAACUAUAUUAAACUGGUCGCUAAUGCCAAUAGAGUUCGAAGCUGCUUGGGCUGAACUCGUGCACAAGUACAACUUGGAGAACGGCCAGAUGAUGAUGUAG
rnacentral:rRNA from 1 species